rnacentral:rRNA from 1 species
GCAUGUCUCAGUGCAAGCCGUACGCGCGCGCUAAGUCAAAUUAGCGCGUACUAUAUGAUAAAUAUACACGGUGAAACCGCGAAAGGCUCAUUAAAUCAGUUAUGGUUCCUUAGAUCGUGCCCACGUUACUUGGAUAACUGUGGUAAUUCUAGAGCUAAUACAUGCCGACAGAGUUCUGACCAGCGCCGAGUGGCAGCACGGCCGCGUACGCAUAGAGGCGGGUCGCCGCGCACGCGUGCGUGCACGGGUGUUUGAGAGCGCGUGCGCGCGCGCAUACACUCGCCGUCGGGGGUAAACCUCGGCGAUGGAGAAUGCGCGCGUGUGCGCGCGUUCACACCCGUGUGUCGCGCACGGUCGUUGACGUGGCGCGCUCGACCUUAUCUCGUGUACGUUGGCGCCGUCCGCUGUAUCCACUCUCGGAGUUUGGAAGGAACGCUCUUAUUAGAUCAAAACCGGCCGAGCGGGAUCGUCGUCACAUUCAUUCACCCGGCCCGUCGGCAGAGGCAGUGUGCGGCGGCCGCGUGUGGCCCGUGUACAUCGGGUAAAACUGCGUGCACGGCGAGUCACACGCGUUGCCGGCGCCCGUCUUCUCGGCGGCGGCAGUCGGGGUGUGUGGGUGUCUUCGAUUGUCCGCAAGUGGCCCGCGCAAAGACUUGACGACUCUGAAUAAUUUCUAGCUGAUCGCACGGUCGAGAACGACUCUCUCCAUAUACUACUACUACAACUAUACUCUGUAUCUCGGGCGCGCCCUGGCGCGCGCCCUUUACAUACGCUCUUGUGUGUGUGUGUGUGUGUGAAAAGCACCGGCGACGUAUCUUUCAAAUGUCUGCCUUAUCAACUGUCGACGGUAGGUUCGACGCCUACCGUGGUGGUAACGGGUAACGGGGAAUCAGGGUUCGAUUCCGGAGAGGGAGCCUGAGAAACGGCUACCACAUCCAAGGAAGGCAGCAGGCGCGCAAAUUACCCACUCCCAGCUCGGGGAGGUAGUGACGAAAAAUAACGAUACGGGACUCAUCCGAGGCCCCGUAAUCGGAAUGAGUACACUUUAAAACCUUGGCC